rnacentral:lncRNA from 1 species
GAGAUUGUCCUUUUUUUAUUUUAUCCAGUAUCUAAUGUUCAACAAAUGUAUGAAUUGAAAGUGAAUACUAUAUAAAUGAUAGGUUUCUUGUUUUGUUUUGUUUUUUUAACAGACUUUGGGAACACUUAGUUCAAAAAGAGAGAGAGUACCAGAAUCUUCUUCGGUUAAUUCUAGAACAAAAAACUCAAGAAUUAUAUCACCUUCAGUUACAAUACAAAUGCAAUGGUAAGUCACUUUACCUUUGCUCCAACAUAGGUGUCAAAGAGGGACAAACUACUAAAAAUCUGACUUCUGCCUUGAAGACAUAAAUGGUUGACGUUAGCAUAUACUACAGGAACAGAAAUCCUAAUGGGUAGGGGCAGAGCUCAGAAGAAAGGACAGGGUAAC